rnacentral:rRNA from 1 species
UUUUAACUUAAAAUUUAAAUUUAAANUUUUUAAUUAAAACAGUUUAAUUUUCAUUAAUUCCUUCAUUCCAGUUUUCAUUUAAAAAACAAUUGAUUAUGCUACCUUAGCACAGUCAAAAUACUGCGRCUAUUUAAUUAAAAUCAUUGAGCAGAACAAAUCUUAAAAUAUAUUCAAAAAACUAUGUUUUUGAUAAACAGG